rnacentral:misc_RNA from 1 species
GAAAUGCGAUACGUAGUGUGAAUUGCAGAAUUCAGUGAACCAUCGAAUCUUUGAACGCACCUUGCGGCCGCCGGUAAUCCGGCGGCCAUGCCCGUCCGAGCGUCGUUUCGACCCUCGGGGCCCCUCCCUGCCUGCGGGGCGGGGGGGCCCCGGCAUUGGGCCAGCGCGUGCCGCCCUCCUGGGGCGCCGCGCGGCCCGCAUUCCAGCGGCGGCAGCACCGGCGACGUCCCCUGCGCAGUACAUUACGCUCGCAUCGGUCUCCCGGCGCGGCCCGCCUCGAAACCCCCCAUAUCAUUAGGUCGACCUCGGAUCGGGUAGGGAUACCCGCUAAACUUAA